GACGAACGCUGGCGGCGUGCCUAAUACAUGCAAGUCGAGCGGAAGUUGAAGAGCUUGCUCUUCAACUUUAGCGGCGGACGGGUGAGUAACACGUGGGCAACCUGCCCUGCAGAUCGGGAUAACUCCGGGAAACCGGUGCUAAUACCGAAUAGUUUUCGCCACCUCCUGGUGGCGUACGGAAAGACGGUUUCGGCUGUCACUGCAGGAUGGGCCCGCGGCGCAUUAGCUAGUUGGUGGGGUAACGGCCCACCGAGGCAACGAUGCGUAGCCGACCUGAGAGGGUGAUCGGCCACACUGGGACUGAGACACGGCCCAGACUCCUACGGGAGGCAGCAGUAGGGAAUCUUCCGCAAUGGACGAAAGUCUGACGGAGCAACGCCGCGUGAGUGACGAAGGUUUUCGGAUCGUAAAACUCUGUUGUGAGGGAAGAACAAGUACCACUUAACUACUGGUACCUUGACGGUACCUCACCAGAAAGCCACGGCUAACUACGUGCCAGCCGCCGCCGUAAGAC
rnacentral:rRNA from 1 species